ensembl:lncRNA
CCUUUAUGUAUAAAGACAGUGUGAAAGAGUGUAAGAGAGAGAGAGAGAACUAAAGAGAAAAAUAAAAUCUUUUUACACUGAGUAUAUGUUGUCCAGUGGCGAGAUGUCCACAUAGCACUCCUGUCCCCCUCUGUUAAAUGCUCACAGCUCAGAGACAAUGAGACAAACAAGGCUUAAAACCAAACAGAGCAACUCCAUCAGACGUGACCAGUACCUCGUACGGACCCAGCUUUAUUCCCCCCUUAUCCUUAUCCCUUCCUCACCCCUCCUUCCCCCACUCAGUGUGGUCAGUGUGUGUUAACAGUUAAAUAACAACACAAACAGUUCACUAUCCAGUUCAGUCCACAAUUUCUUGUUUUAUUUCUCUUUAGUAAGAGAGAUCACCAACAUCAGGCUGACUGUGGCUUUAGUAACAGGGAUCACCAACUCCAGGCUGACUGUCUGCUGUGGCUUUAGUAACAGGGAUCACCAACUCCAGGCUGACUGUCUGCUGUGGCUUUAGUAACAGGGAUCACCAACUCCAGGCUGACUGUCUGCUGUGGCUUUAGUAACAGGGAUCAUCAACUCCAGGCUGACUGUGGCUUUAGUAACAGGGAUCAUCAACUCCAGGCUAACUAUCUGUUGUGGCUUUAGUAACAGGGAUCACCAACUCCAGGCUGACUGUCUGCUGUGGCUUUAGUAACAGGGAUCAUCAACUCCAGGCUGGCUGUGGCUUUAGUAACAGGGAUCAUCAACUCCAGGCUAACUAUCUGUUGUGGCUUUAGUAACAGGGAUCACCAACUCCAGGCUGACUGUCUGCUGUGGCUUUAGUAACAGGGAUCACCAACUCCAGGCUGACUGUCUGCUGUGGCUUUAGUAACAGGGAUCAUCAACUCCAGGCUGACUGUCUGCUGUGGCUUUAGUAACAGGGAUCAUCAACUCCAGGCUGACUGUCUGCUGUGGCUUUAGUAACAGGGAUCACCAACUCCAGGCUGACUGUCUGCUGUGGCUUUAGUAACAGGGAUCAUCAACUCCAGGCUGACUGUCUGCUGUGGCUUUAGUAACAGGGAUCAUCAACUCCAGGCUGACUGUCUGCUGUGGCUUUAGUAACAGGGAUCAUCAACUCCAGGCUGGCUGUGGCUUUAGUAACAGGGAUCAUCAACUCCAGGCUGACUGUCUGCUGUGGCUUUAGUAACAGGGAUCAUCAACUCCAGGCUGACUGUCUGCUGUGGCUUUAGUAACAGGGAUCAUCAACUCCAGGCUGACUGUCUG